rnacentral:snRNA from 1 species
CAUCCAGCUCAAGAUCAAAGUAUUGAAAACUUUAACCGAGCAAGGCACAGGGCAA